GGGGGGGGGGGGGGGGGGGGGGGGGGGGGGCGGGGGGGGGGGGGGGGUGAGGGGCGUGGGGGGCGGGCGGUAGGGGCGGACGGGGGCGUCAGACGGGGGUGACCCACCUGUACGACGGGGAUACCGUCGGGGAACCGGAGCUAAGACCGGAGAAUAUAGUGAACCGCAUGGGUCCAUAGUGCACGACGGUCUCGCCUGCACUCGUAGGUGGAUCCGAGGGGCAUUGGCUAGUUGGUAAGGGAACGGCUUACCAAGGCAACGAUGCGUAGCCGACCGGAGAGGGUGAUCGGCCACACUGGAACUGAGACACGGUCCAGACUCCUACGGGAGGCAGCAGUAGGGAAUCUUCCGCAAUGGGCGAAAGCCUGACGGAGCAACGCCGCGUGAGUGAUGAAGGUCUUCGGAUCGUAAAACUCUGUUAUUAGGGAAGAACAAAUGUGUAAGUAACUAUGCACGUCUUGACGGUACCUAAUCAGAAAGCCACGGCUAACUACGUG
rnacentral:rRNA from 1 species